UGAGGAACAUGACCUUCGGCGGGGGAGUAGCCGGCCCAACGGCCGGGUAAUACCGCGUACGACCACUUUGGGACAUCCCUCGGUGGUGAAAGCAGCAAUGCGCCGAUGGAGUGCCUCGCGGCCUAUCAGCUAGUUGGUGAGGUAACGGCUCACCAAGGCGACGACGGGUAGCUGGUCUGAGGAGGAUGGCCAGCCACAGUUGGGACUGAGACACGGCCCAGACUCCGUAGGGA
rnacentral:rRNA from 1 species